rnacentral:lncRNA from 1 species
AUUUUGUUUCUGUCAGGCUGUCCCUGGCCGGGGUUCUGUAACGCUUGUGUGGGCCGCAGGUGGAGGUGUUGGGAAAGCGCGGAGGAGAUGUUGUCCCCAGUGUCCCGAGACGCGUCUGAUGCUCUGCAGGGACGGAAGUGCCUGCGUCCCCGAUCGAGACGCCUGCCGCUCCCGGCAGCUGUCCGCGCCCACGGUCCUAUGGCGGAGCUAACGGACUCCGCGCGGGAAUUGCAUUUUCCAGAUCACGUGCAGUCAUGAAACUAGAGCGAGGAGAAGAGCCCUGGGUGUAUGACCAGGUGGAUAUGACUUCAGCCACAGAAAGAGAGGCCCAGAGGGGACUUAGACCUGGUGAGUGGACAUCGGGGAAGGGCACGAUGUCAAAGCUGGGUUCAAAACUGGCAACAUUAACUGUUCACAUCAGUGUUUGUUUCCAGGGCCAGUGGCCACACAGCGUUUCUAUCUGUCCUUUCCUGUUCUUGACACGAAGAUAUAUCAUUUCUAGUUUGUUAGCCCCUUGCCACCCUCACCUCUGGCCUUCACCUUACACCCAUGUUUCACCACUUCUCUGUCUACAUUUUUUGGCAGUAUUGACCUGCAAUUAAUGUUCACAAGAUGUGCAUAUAUUCUUAAAUAGUCUUUGAACACCAGCUGCUCACUUGUAGUUGGAUUUUCCUGGGACUGGAUACAUUUUUCAUAGCACUCACGAGUCACUAACAGUCAAGGCCCUACUGGAAGCCAUUUGUUUGGUUCCAUUCUUAUAUCCUGGCCCUUCAUUGGCACUCCCCCAUGGUAUGACCUCCAGAGGCUCACUACCUCAAAGCCAUUCCUUCCUCACUCUGACCAUGCCUCUCAUUCUGAAAACAGUUUCAUGAACUUAUUCCUGCAUGUGUCAAAUGCACAUAUACAAUGAGGUUGCCCCUUCCCACCCGUAAAUAUGCAUUUAAUCAGCAUUUGUGUGUUCUUCAGGUUGUUGGCAU